AUUUAACCUCUCAUCUCAGCAGUUGUUUAGAAGCAUUUCUUAUUGUAUGUGAGUUAAAAGUUUCAAUUGGCCAGGUCAGAUCCAGGCAGCUCGAGCACAAAGAAAACAAGCUUUUGGAAAAGAUCUGGGUGUAGCCUGUCGCCAUAACAUAAAACCUCGGACACGCUGCAAAGUCUUAAAGUCUUCACUAGGGCACGUCACAAACAUCCAAACCGAUGUGAUGAGCCCCGGAUUCUGCACAGUCAUAAUAUUCCAUAUUAAACUUUAUUGGACCAACUAUUUCCAAAAAGGCUGUAGUGUGUUUUAAAUAGCAGGCUCUCUCUCUAUUAAAGCCUUCAUCGUGUGGCUUUUUGUGGGAAUGCGCUGUACAUCUGGGCACCACAUUGGCUUCCACGGUGGCUGGCUGGCUUUGGCACCCAUCGUAAGCCCAUUACAACCCCGGUCUGCCAGCCCUCCAGGAGCCCGAGCGUCGGGCUUCACGCCAGACCACUCCACUACCCCAGUCACACUCACUUCAACAAACAGCGGCGAGAGAAACCGGAGACGUGCAGAGUCACUGACCUAAUGUUCACUGAGACGAAGGGCCAAGGCCUUGUUUGCACUGGGAAACAUCGUGUGUCGAGACCGACGUGUUGAUGUGCGUGAAAACGGGAGCUUCCCGCCGUUUCUGCUUCCAUUCAGCGGAUGUCUGUGAGUGCCAAACAUCCAGAACUGAAGAUUUACAUCAAAGGGGAUACUGCAGGGAGUGGACUCGAAAUUUCUCAAUAAUCUGUCAAAACUGUACAGCAUUUCAACAAGCAGCCUCUGGUUACCAUGGAAACAUUUACCCUGUCUCCAACACUGUCACAUCUUAAUGGUUGAGAAAAAAAAAAAAUCACCUAACCAAACGAGGAAAAAAAGUGUUUCAUUCCAUAAAUCAGUGUUUGUUUGUGA